AGUGAACGCUGGCGGUAGGCCUAACACAUGCAAGUCGAACGGCAGCACAGGAGAGCUUGCUCUCUGGGUGGCGAGUGGCGGACGGGUGAGGAAUACAUCGGAAUCUACUCUGUCGUGGGGGAUAACGUAGGGAAACUUACGCUAAUACCGCAUACGACCUACGGGUGAUAGCAGGGGAUCUUCGGACCUUGCGCGAUUGAAUGGGCCGAUGUCGGAUUAGCUAGUUGGCGGGGUAAAGGCCCACCAAGGCGACGAUCCGUAGCUGGUCUGAGAGGAUGAUCAGCCACACUGGAACUGAGACACGGUCCAGACUCCUACGGGAGGCAGCAGUGGGGAAUAUUGGACAAUGGGCGCAAGCCUGAUCCAGCCAUACCGCGUGGGUGAAGAAGGCCUUCGGGUUGUAAAGCCCUUUUGUUGGGAAAGAAAUCCAGCUGGCUAAUACCCGGUUGGGAUGACGGUACCCAAAGAAUAAGCACCGGCUAACUUCGUGCCAGCCGCCGCCGUAA
rnacentral:rRNA from 1 species